rnacentral:rRNA from 1 species
UACGGGGGGGGCAAGCGUUGUUCGGAAUUACUGGGCAUAAAGAGCACGUAGGUGGUGCGCUAAGUCACGUGUGAAAUCCCCCGGCUCAACCGGGGAAUGGCGCGUGAUACUGGCGGACUCGAGGCGGGUAGGGGUGAGCGGAACUCCAGGUGGAGCGGUGAAAUGCGUAGAUAUUGGGAGGAACACCAGAUGCGAAGGCGGGUCACUGGGCUGAUACUGACGCUGAAGUGCGAAAGCCAGGGGAGCGAACGGG